rnacentral:rRNA from 1 species
GACAGAGGUGCCGAGCGUUAGGCGGAAUCACUGGGCUUAAAGCGUGUGUAGGCGGGCCGUUAAGUAUCUUGUGAAAUCCCCCGGCUCAACCGGGGAAUGGCUGGAUAUACUGGCGGUCUUGAGCGAUCUAGGGGCAGAUGGAACAAGUGGGGGAGCGGUGAAAUGCGUAGAUAUCAAUUGGAACGCCAAAGGUGAAAACAGUCUGCUGGGGAUCUGCUGACGCUGAGACACGAAAGCCAGGGGAGCGAACGGG